rnacentral:rRNA from 1 species
CCGUGCAGNSAGAGGUUUUCGGAUCGUAAAGCUCUGUUGUMAGUCAAGAACGCAGUGUGAGASUGGAAAGUUCACACUGUGCACGGUAGCUUACCAGAAAGGGACGGCUAACUACGUGCCAGCAGCCGCGGUAAUACGUAGGUCCCGAGCGUUGUCCGGAUUUAUUGGGCGUWWAKURARMRCAGGCGYUUUGAUAAGUCUGAAGUUAAAKGCUGUGGCUCAAYCAUAGUUCGCUUUGGAAACUGUCAAACUUGAGUGCAGAAGGGGAGAGUGGAAUUCCAUGUGUAGCGGUGAAAUGCGUAGAUAUAUGGAGGAACACCGGUGGCGAAAGCGGCUCUCUGGUCUGUAACUGACGCUGAGGCUCGAAAGCGUGGGGAGCGAACAGGAUUAGAUACCCUGGUAGUCCACGCCGUAAACGAUGAGUGCUAGGUGUUGGAUCCUUUCCGGCGAUUCAGUGCCGCAGCUAACGCAUUAAGCACUCCGCCUGGGGAGUACGACCGCAAGGUUGAAACUCAAAGGAAUUGACGGGGGCCCGCACAAGCGGUGGAGCAUGUGGUUUAAUUCGAAGCAACGCGAAGAACCUUACCAGGUCUUGACAUCCCGAUGCUAUUUCUAGAGAUAGAAAGUUACUUCGGUACAUCGGUGACAGGUGGUGCAUGGUUGUCGUCAGCUCGUGUCGUGAGAUGUUGGGUUAAGUCCCGCAACGAGCGSAACCCCUAUUGUUAGUUGSCAUCAUUCAGUUGGGCACUCUAGCGAGACUGCCGGUAAUAAACCGGAGGAAGGUGGGGAUGACGUCAAAUCAUCAUGCCCCUUAUGACCUGGGCUACACACGUGCUACAAUGGUUGGUACAMGAAGUUGCGARUCGGUGACGGCAAGCUAAUCUCUUAAAGCCAAUCUCAGUUCGGAUUGUAGGCUGCAACUCGCCUACAUGARGUCGGAAUCGCUAGUAAUCGSGGAUCAGCACGCCGCGGUGAAUACGUUCCCSGGCCUUGUACACACCGCCCGUCMMMCMCGAGAGUUUKUAAMACCCGAAGUCGGUGAAGKAACCUUUUGGGRGCAASCSCCUAAGGKG